rnacentral:rRNA from 1 species
GUAGGUGGCAAGCGUUGUCCGGAAUUAUUGGGCGUAAAGCGCGCGCAGGCGGUUCUUUAAGUCUGAUGUGAAAGCCCACGGCUCAACCGUGGAGGGUCAUUGGAAACUGGAGAACUUGAGUACAGAAGAGGAAAGCGGAAUUCCACGUGUAGCGGUGAAAUGCGUAGAGAUGUGGAGGAACACCAGUGGCGAAGGCGGCUUUCUGGUCUGUAACCGACGCUGAGGCGCGAAAGCGUGGGGAGCAAACAGGGAUUAGAUACCCUGGUAGUCCACGCCGUAAACGAUGAGUGCUAAGUGUUAGGGGGUUUCCCGCCCCUUAGUGCUGCAGCUAACGCAUUAAGCACUCCGCCUGGGGGAUACGGCCGCAAGGCUG